rnacentral:rRNA from 1 species
UAGGGAAUCUUCCGCAAUGGACGCAAGUCUGACGGAGCAACGCCGCGUGAGUGAAGAAGGAUUUCGGUUCGUAAAACUCUGUUGUUAGAGAAGAACAGCGCAUAGAGUAACUGUUAUGCGUGUGACGGUAUCUAACCAGAAAGCUCCGGCUAAAUACGUGCCAGCAGCCGCGGUAAUACGUAUGGAGCGAGCGUUGUCCGGAAUUAUUGGGCGUAAAGGGUACGCAGGCGGUUUAAUAAGUCGAAUGUUAAAGAUCGGGGCUCAACCCCGUAAAGCAUUGGAAACUGAUAAACUUGAGUAGUGGAGAGGAAAGUGGAAUUCCUAGUGUAGUGGUGAAAUACGUAGAUAUUAGGAGGAAUACCAGUAGCGAAGGCGACUUUCUGGACACAAACUGACGCUGAGGUACGAAAGCGUGGGGAGCAAACAGG